GCGACAGAGCGAGACUCCAGCUCAAAAAACAAACAAAGGGGAAGGGGAGAUGGCCAUGCAACUUUUCUGAAGUGAUGGAGUGAGAAUUUAAACCCUGCCCCAAACUCAUGCUUUUAACCAUUACAUUCUCUUACCCCAGCAGGGAGAGAAAGGAGUGAAAGGGCUCAGCUAGGAGAUGGGCCAGGUGUUGACACCCUCAGGUUAAAUACCUGCCAGUCUUCCCAGCAGAGCAAGGGGACACCAACUGCUCACUAAUUCCUAACGAGGGUUGAGGGCCGAGAUGUCGGUGGCAGGCUCAGAGGCCAGUGUUCCAGACUCCCUGACACUGACCACCUGAAAGCAGAGGAACUGACCCAGAGGAAUUGACCCAUCUGUUCAGUCCACAAUCCAACAGCGCCGCCCAUCACAUUUGGGAGUUGGACAUCUCAACCGGUCACCAGGGCCCUGGCCAAAUCCUCAGCCAAGUUACUGUGGCCUUAAGCUUUUUCAGAUGUUUACCGGGAAAUAAUCUUUGUGUGGUGUUGCAAUCCUGGAUAAAGCAAGGUCAGUUCUUCUGAAUACACUGAGGGCCAGCAGGGCUUCCUCCACACCUCCCCACAUGGAGAAAAUUCAGGAGUGUUCACAGCAGAGGCAGCAAGAUUUCUGUUUCAUUUUUCUUAGUUUCCUGAAAUAUUAAAUUAGUAAAAAACACAAAACCACAGGUGCAGGAAUAAGGAGAUGGGGUUCCCGUCCCAGGCCUCUCACUUCUUAGCUGGGUGACCUUGGAGAGUUUCCUAAGUUCUCAGCAAGAGGUUUGGCUGUCAGGUGUUGAUCAUCUGAAAUCCAUGGAUGUCCAUGGGACGUUGGGUAGAAUGGUUUUUUAGUGUAAUUGAAUUCCUUUGUGAUCUCAUGUCUUUUAUUUUAUGUAUUUAUGGAUAUUUUUUCCAAGCUGUCAAAGGGGCACACGGCACAGAAAUGUAGAAACGCUGCCAGAAGAUCUGUGGGGUCCCAGCAUGACUCAACGUUCUGUCAUUUCCAUUAGUGUCCCUUCUGGGAUUGGGGCUUCUUUUAACCAAGUCCAUCUGGCUGUGGAGGAGUUAAGGGAAGUUUCUCAAUGCUGGGUCAGAGAGGUAAUAAACAGGAGGCAAUGGAACCGUUCACAAGUGGGCUGGAGCCCAGGCCCCUGGAGGGAGAGACCCAGGCCCUUGGGCCUCACAUGCUGCCAUCAUCUGGGUAGGGGGGCCGUAGCAUCCACGCACUCAUAAGCAGAGUUGGGGACCACCCCGAGAGCAGGGGCAGGCUGCAGCCUGAGAUGUCUUGGAAGCCAUGUGCUGCCUCAAGACAGAAAGGAGAGGGAGGGAGGGAAAGGGUGGGAGCAGGAGAGGAACUGUGACCUGGGCCAUCCUCCUGUCUCUCGCAUCAUUUCCACUCCUACAACACGGCUUCUGAUCAUAAAGUGUGACGUUAGGAUAAGUUCUGGUUCAGAGAGGUAUCACUGAGCGAUCAGCCAGUAUCAGAUGUGGACACUCAUUGUGCCAGGCAGUUUAUGUUUCUCUCUUGUAGAAACCAUGUAGGUAUGCAUGAUGACAACCAUCUUCUCAGGGAGAGAACAGGCUCACAGAGGUCAACAAGUUUGCCAGACAUGGCACAGUGAGUGGCCUAACCGAGAUUCGCACCUGGAUCUGUCUGGCUCCAAAAGGCAUGUUUCUUGGUUUGUUAGACACUGACAAAGCUCUUCCGCACGCACUGUCUGUGAAUGGGAACUACCGGCCGGCCUCUCAGCCCAGUGUCAGCCAUCCCUCUCCCUCUCAGACUCAGCCGUGCCCACAAGUGAAGAAAAGGAUUUCUAUGUCUUCACUGAAGUCUCCCAGCGGUCCUUCACUCUGGCUACAAAUACUUACCAUUAAAUGAGAAACUUCGGCACAUGAACAUUUGAAAGAGUCUCCUUGAGCGGACGCAGAGCCAGAGAGACGGAGUGUGGCGUGAGGAAGGAGGCCACGUGCAGAGUGCAGCUGGGGAAGAUGCUUCUAUUUUGAAACUACUGCAGGCCCCCUAGCCUCAGUACCGGGGGAAGACCACCCUCCUGGGUCACUAGCAUGAAGGACCAUGUCCAUCCAGAACUUCCAAGGACCACCUUAGAAUCACAUUUCAGAAACACCCUCACAGACACACCCAGAAAUAAACUCUGCCAGCAAUCUGGGCAUUUCCUAGCCCAAGUGUUACUGGAAAGAGGUCCCGAUUCAGAUCCCAAGAAAGGGCUCUUGGAUCUCGUGCAAGAAAGAAUUCGAGAGUAAAGAAAACUUUUCUUUUGAGCUAUUAACAGCUUUUAACAAUGAAGCAUACUUCUAUGAACAAAAUUUGGAGCAUAUUUGUUUCUCUCUACCUGAUUUCUCUAGAAUUUGGAAACUAUUUGAAUCAAACUUGACUUGUGGAACCAAUAAAGGCCACUUGGGAAAACUGGCCUCAUACCUUGUCUAUGCAGUCCCUGUACAGAGUUCCUGACCCAUGGAUAUGGUGAUUCUCAGCCUGCUAAAAAUGAGCUUUCCUAAUAACUCAGGACCCACCUGCCUAGGAAUAAAUCACCCUAGCCGUGAGAGACCAGACAAAACCUGAGACCAGACACUCGUUUUCUUCUAAAAUGCUUUCUCCAAAAGAUUUUUUAAAAGAAAAGGGGGGAAAUGUGAAAGGAAAAGAAAUCUUGGGGCCCGCAAAAUCACUAAACUAAAGGGAAAAGUCAAGCUGGGAAUGGGUUAGGGCAAAACUGCCUCCCACUCUAUGCAAAGUCAUCACUGAGGUAAGUGCAUAUCUAAUCACCUCCUUUGGAAAGGCUAAUCAGAAACUCAAAAGAAUCCAACAGUUUGACUCUCACCUACCUGUGACCUGGAAGCUCCCUCUCUGCUUGAGUUGUCCUGCUUUUCCGGACUGAAACAAUGUUCAUCUUACAUAUGUUGAUUGAUGUCUUAUGUCUCCCUAAAAUGUAUAAAACCAAGCUGUGCCCUGACCACCUUGGGCACCUGUCAUCAGAACCUCCUGAGGCUAUGCCACAGGCAUGCAGCCUCAACCUUGGCAAAAUAAACUUUCUAAAUUAACUGA